rnacentral:misc_RNA from 1 species
ACUUGCUUAGUUUCAGAAAAUCAGGUUCACUUACCAUAGCUUGGUUCACAUCAUUUAAGCUUCCAUUUGCCAGUGAUGACUGUAUACUCUUCUUUACUGGAUUUGACAACGGAGCAGGACCAUCUCUGGAUGCCUUCUUCUUUCCAGUAUUGGGCAUGUCAUGCAAAACAAAGUCUUGGUGGUUCUGAUCAAGCUGAUCAGAUUUAACUUCACCAGGAUUGAUCUGCAGAUUAUUUUGACUCACUGGCGCAGGGAUUUGGUUCAAUAAUGUAACAGCUUUUGUUGUUUCUUCCUCAGUAAAGCUACAUCGGUUCAUACCAGGCAGCCAAUUAAGCAUGCUACACAG